rnacentral:lncRNA from 1 species
AGAUGGAAAUGCGGAAAUCACCGUCUUCUGUGUCGCUCAGGCUGGGAGCUGUAGACCGGAGCUGUUCCUAUUCGGCCAUCUUGGCUCCUCUCCCUCUUUAAAGUGAUUGCUCACUGAUGCCUUAUCUAGUUCUCUUGGUGAGGUCAUGUUUUCCUGGAUGGUCUUGGUGUUUGUGGAUGUUCAUCAAUGUCAGGGCAUUGAGAAGUUAGAAUGUGAUUUUGAAGAAAGGAGGAAAGAUGUGAAAAGUGAUUGGUCAGCCACAUUCAUGGUGUUGAGAAAAGAAUUUGCUUUUCUGGAACAUAGCCUGUGAUAGCAGAACAACACCUGGCAAGAAACAGGUUAUGUUUGGCUGGAGAGUCAUUGGCACUAUCAAGAAAUAUUAAAGUGUAGAUUUGAGAGAGGAGGAGAAAGACCCAAGCAAAAUUGAAAACCAGGUGGGACCCAGACAGCAGCAAAGCAAUGGAAGCAUGUAUUUUGGUCAAUAUAGAGUUAAUACACAAUUUUGCCCCUCUUCUUCUGAUCAUGGGACUCAUAUUACCAGUCUUCACAUUUCCUUUAAAUUCAGGAAUCAGGAAGAAUUUCCAGAGUUUGCAGAUGGACACAUUUGCUGCUUCCAUUCUAAACAUAAGUUAGAAGAACCUUUCAACUGGAUUCCAACUUUAAUAUGUCACAAACAUAAAAAAGAAAGCUAUUUCCUGGACUUUUCUUCAUUAGAAAUUAAUAGAUUGUCAAUUGGCAUAGGGAAAAGAUAAUCAACAGAUGCCAACCCCAAGUUAACAGAAAUGCUAAAAUUAUAAGACAAAGACUUCAAAAUAGCUAUUUUAAUUUUGCCUAGUGAGGUAAAUGCAAACAUGCUCACUAUGAAUGAAAACAGGUAAUCUCAGCAGUCAUGUAAACUAUAAAAAUAAGCAAAUAUAAAUUUUAGAAUUAAAACACAAUAUCUAAAAAUAAAUUCACCUGAUAUUCUCAAUAGAAAAAAUGGUAAUGCAGAGAAAAAUGUAUGAAAAUAUGGCAAUUUGAAGAAGAGAGAAGAGAUCAAUAAAAUAAAUAAGUAUAUCCUUGGAGACCUGUGGAUGUUUUUUGAAAAGUGAAUCAUGUAAGUAAUUGAAGUCCCAGAAGAAAAGAAAAGAAGAGGAUGAGCA